rnacentral:lncRNA from 1 species
AAAUUUUAUUUUUUUUAUAGUUUUUUUUUGUUUUUUUUUUUAUUUUUUACAACAAUCACAAAAUGUAUUUGAAACAGAGUACAAAACAUAUCUAUUCACAUUUUCUAAUGCUUAACAAACAAUAUAUAAGAAUCAUUGAUAGUUUCUCUGUGAAGGUUACAAGCAUUAACUGAAGCAUAAAGCUUUAUUGUUGUUUUUCUUAAUUUAACUAUUCCAUAAAAGAAUCAUGAGGCUGGGUCCACUGGUUUAAUAAACAUGGCUUUUAAAAAGCAGCUAAGAUUUUAUACGCAGCUCAUAAAUGAUUUUAUUUCAACUCAUCCGUAUUUUAUUGAGAUAGUUAAUUUAGAAAAAUUAUGUAAUUUUAUGGAAAUAAUUUUCUUUUUUCUUUUUUCUUUUUUUGUGAUUUUGAAUCUUAUUUGAUACAAUGAACAAUUAUAUAUAUUUUAAAGUCUCAUAAAAUGGUUUU